CAAAUGCGAUACGCAAUGCGAAUUGCAGAAUUCCGCGAGUCAUCAGAUCUUUGAACGCAAGUGGCGCUGGGUUAACCAAUACCCCAGCAUGUUUGUUUCAGUGUGUUAGGAAUCAUAAAUCAUAAUGCGGUUGAAAUUAUUUAAUUAAAGUUUCUCCCGUUAAACAUGAAAGUGCUGAAUCGUUCAGUGCCGAUCGAAGUAGUCACUUCUUUAGCAAGUGAUCUCGAUUGUUGCAUAACUGAGGAUUCACUUAAAAAGCAUUUAAAUAAUAAAUUAUUAUUCUCCAUUCAACACCUGAAAUCAAGCAAGAUCACCCGCUGAACUUAA
rnacentral:misc_RNA from 1 species